rnacentral:sRNA from 1 species
GUCAACUACCCCUGCCUAAAGGCAGAGGCUUGUGAAAGCCUUGGUUGACUAGCCUUGGUGAUCUUCCUUUUGAGAGGUGAACUCCGUUGGUUGGGAAUGUAUAGGCACCGCGCAAUGUCGUUCCUAGUUGCGCGCUCUGC